rnacentral:miRNA from 1 species
UUGAAGGAUUUGUAAGAAAUGUUUGAGGUAACUGACUGUUGAACACUGAGUCAGUUUCCUCAAACAUUUCUUACAAAUUCUUCAC